AACGAACGCUGGCGGCAUGCCUAACACAUGCAAGUCGAACGAGACCUUCGGGUCUAGUGGCGCGCGGGUGCGUAACGCGUGGGAACCUGCCCUUAGGUUCGGAAUAACCCCCCGAAAGGGGUGCUAAUACCGGAUAAUGUCUUUGGACCAAAGAUUUAUCGCCUUUGGAUGGGCCCGCGUUGGAUUAGCUAGUUGGUAGGGUAAAAGCCUACCAAGGCGACGAUCCAUAGCUGGUCUGAGAGGAUGAUCAGCCACACUGGGACUGAGACACGGCCCAGACUCCUACGGGAGGCAGCAGUGGGGAAUAUUGGACAAUGGGCGAAAGCCUGAUCCAGCAAUGCCGCGUGAGUGAUGAAGGCCUUAGGGUUGUAAAGCUCUUUUACCCGGGAUGAUAAUGACAGUACCGGGAGAAUAAGCUCCGGCUAACUCCGUG
rnacentral:rRNA from 1 species